rnacentral:rRNA from 1 species
AGCUCCAAUAGCGUAUAUUAAAGUUGUUGCGGCUAAAAAGCUCGUAGUUGGAUUUCUGUCGAGAACGUCCGGUCCGCUUUUUGAGCGUGUAUCUGGUUCGGUCUUGGCAUCUUCCAGGGGAACGUUGCUGCGCUUGAUUGCGUGGUGCGGGUUUCUGGACUUUUACUUUGAGGAAAUUAGAGUGUUUACAGCAGGCAAACGCCGUGAAUAUGUUAGCAUGGAAUAAUAAUAUAGGACUCUCGGCCUAUUUUGUUGGUUUCUAGGACGAGGGUAAUGAUUAAUAGGGAUAAUUGGGGGCAUUCGUAUUAACUAGUCAGAGGUGAAAUUCUUGGAUUUAGUUACGACGAACUACUGCGAAAGCAUUUGCCAAGGAUGUUUUCA